rnacentral:rRNA from 1 species
AGAGUUUGAUCAUGGCUCAGGAUGAACGCUAGCGGCGGGCCUAAUACAUGCAAGUCGAGGGAAAAGUAAUGUAGCAAUACAUUACGAAGACCGGCAAACGGGUGCGUAACACGUAUGUAACCUACCUCAUACCGGAGGAUAGCCCGGAGAAAUCCGGAUUAAUACUCCAUGACAUGACGUCAGGGCAUCCUGAUGUCAUUAAAGCUCCGGCGGUAUGAGAUGGGCAUGCGGCCCAUUAGGUAGUUGGUAGGGUAAAGGCCUACCAAGCCAACGAUGGGUAGGGGACCUGAGAGGGUGAUCCCCCACACUGGUACUGAGACACGGACCAGACUCCUACGGGAGGCAGCAGUAAGGAAUAUUGGGCAAUGGCCUAACGGCUGACCCAGCCACGCCGCGUGAAGGAAGAAGGCCCUAUGGGUUGUAAACUUCUUUUGUUUGGGAAGAAACCCCCCGACGCGUCGGGGGCUGACGGUACCAGACGAAUAAGCAUCGGCUAACUCCGUGCCAGCAGCCGCGGUAAUACGGAGGAUGCAAGCGUUAUCCGGAUUCACUGGGUUUAAAGGGUGCGUAGGCGGACUAUUAAGUCAGAGGUGAAAGCCGACGGCUCAACCGUCGAAUUGCCUUUGAUACUGGUAGUCUAGAGUGCAGUUGAGGUGGGCGGAAUGUGGCAUGUAGCGGUGAAAUGCUUAGAUAUGCCACAGAACACCGAUUGCGAAGGCAGCUCGCUAAGCUGUAACUGACGCUGAGGCACGAAAGCGUGGGGAGCAAACAGGAUUAGAUACCCUGGUAGUCCACGCCCUAAACGAUGAUCACUCGCUGUUGGCGAUACACUGUCAGCGGCUAAGCGAAAGCGUUAAGUGAUCCACCUGGGGAGUACGAUCGCAAGGUUGAAACUCAAAGGAAUUGACGGGGGCCCGCACAAGCGGCGGAGCGUGUGGUUUAAUUCGAUGCAACGCGAAGAACCUUACCAGGGCUUGACAUGCUGGUGGUACCGAACCGAAAGGGGAGGGACCCUUCGGGGAGCCAGCACAGGUGCUGCAUGGCUGUCGUCAGCUCGUGCCGUGAGGUGUUGGGUUAAGUCCCGCAACGAGCGCAACCCUUGUUGCUAGUUGCCAUCAGUUCGGCUGGGCACUCUAGCGAGACUGCCUACGAAAGUAGGAGGAAGGCGGGGAUGACGUCUGAUCCGCAUGGCCCUUACGACCUGGGCGACACACGUGCUACAAUGCCUGCCACAAAGCGCUGCGACCCGGCAACGGGAAGCCAAUCGCACAAAAGCAGGCUCAGUUCGGAUUGGGGUCUGCAACUCGACCCCAUGAAGCUGGAAUCGCUAGUAAUCGCGCAUCAGCCAUGGCGCGGUGAAUACGUUCCCGGACCUUGUACACACCGCCCGUCAAGCCAUGGGAGCCUGGGGCGCCUGAAGCUGGUGACCUUACGAGGAGCUAACUAAGGCGAAACAGGUGACUGGGGCUAAGUCGUAACAAGGUAACGUA